rnacentral:rRNA from 1 species
AGGAGGUGAUCCAACCUAGCCUCUAAUAGGCCUCUCGUAUACCACGCAUCCCCAUCUCCAGGGAUAAUUUGCGUCGCCUUUUCUGCCCAAUCCAGUGCCUCAAGCCGCCUUGCCGGGUACUUUGAUGACACAAAAACAGCGUACCUAUCAUAGAGCCAACCAUUAUCUGGAUCAGCACUAAGAGCCAACUCAUAAAACGCUUCGCAAUCCUCAUCACGGCCCUCGCGAUAUGCAGUAUUCGCCGCUCGAGCAUACGGAUGGCGGAAUGCCUUAUCAAUCCUAUCAGAAAUUUUAUUCGAUCUAUUUUUCAAAUUAUCAUUAUAUCUAUUUUUUAUUUUUUCUACAGAAUUCUGCGUAGGAAGAACCACUCCCGAUAUCGUUACACUUCUAUGAGCGCAGUACUUAAUAAACUCCUGGGAGAACAAUAUUUGUGUGUCAUCACCAUACCUAGAUAUCUGCGCGAUCCCGCGACUCUCCUCCAACGUAUCGUAUGCGGAUAGGACGGAAACGCCAACGUACCCACUACAAAGCUUAAGCAGUGUAUCGUCGUGUAUUUCAGAAAUACGAAUCAUAAGCAACAUCAAAUGUUGCGUCUGGGGCGAAAUACGAUUCCAUGCGUCGGCAUAUAAGAACUCCCCCAGAUCUUGAGAGUGCAUUCUCUGCACUCUUUGAAAGGCAUUUUCGAGCCCGAUCCCCCCCUCACCUAGCGCCCCGACAAAUACCUCCAAAACUAAGGCUUGCAACCCAAGUUUCGGGAAUAUUUCGCAAGAUGUGCGUCUCCCGCAACGAGAAUAGGCUGCCGCUGCAUUACGUGCGCUCUUGCACGCCAAAACUCAACAGAA